GUGCUUAUGGAGCACUCUAAUAGCCGCAUGACACGAUUCUUGAGAACCAGAUUCUAAAAAAGAGUUGUGAAGCAGUUGAUCAUGCUAAGAGAUUGAAGGAGGAUUCAAUGCUUUUGCUGAGAGUGUUAUCAUACUGGUCAUUUGGAUUCUUUAUGGUUUAUGAACUAGGUGCUGGUUGCAUUACCUGAGAUUAGAAUCUUCCUGGUUGGUGUUUGCGAGAUGAUGAGCUCUGGGAAUCUGGGAAAAUAAAAUCAAACUCAGGGGAGAAAGAAUUGGUUCUGCUAUCGGUAGUGACAGUUCCCACUCAAGACCUACCAACCAAUCCUCAGAUACUUGACUAAGUAGAUGAUCUUACACAACUAAGUUAUUUGAACGAGCCUUCAGUUCUUCACAAUCUUCAGACUAGAUAUUUACAAGAUAAUUUAUAUAGAAUGGCAGGCCCUGUACUUUUGUCAAUCAAUCCAUUUAACAAUGUCUAGCUAUAUGGGGAUGAUAAAGAAAGAAACUUUUGGACACUCCUCAUGCUUAUGCUGUUGCUGAUGCAGCAUGCAAUGCAAUGAUAGCAGAUGAAGAAGUUGACUAAUAAGAAAGAAGGAGGUGCAAAAAAAAAAAGAAAAGAAAAAAAGAAAAGAGAAAAAAAGAAAAAAAGAAAGAAAGGUGCAAACAAAAAGAGAAGAAAAAAAAGAAAGAAGACGAAAGCAAAAAAAAGAAGAUAAAACGCUGUUGGAGGAGAUUAAAUCAGCAACCUCAAGAUCUGUUACAAGGGAGAAAAGGAGUUGAAAUAGGAGAGGAAUGAGGCUGACAUAGGAGGGGGAACAAAAUUAGGAAGUUGCCUGAUUAUACUGAAGGAGAUGCAAAAAAAAAAGAAAAAAAGAAAGAAGGUGAAGCAAGCAAAGAAAGAUGAUAAAGAGCUGUUGGUGGAGAUGAAAUCAGCAACUUGAAGAACCCUUACAAGGGAGAAAAUGAGUUUAUGUAGGAGAGGGUUGAGGCUGAGCAGCAUGCAAGGGAAGAAGAGACAACUGCCCAAUCUAGGACAUGCCCAGAUCCCAUGACGUGCAGAAGCUUACCAAAACAAGAGAAUAAAAGGCAUGGGUUAUGGCUCAUCAGCUAUUACUUAUGACAACAUCAUGGUCCUGUACAGGAAAGCAGGUUAAUUCGAGAAAAUCCCUGAGACUCUCAUUGUAGAAAAAUGGUGUAGCCGAAAAUAGAUGAAAUGAUGAGAAAUUUCUCCGGUUAAGCUUGGACAGCUCGAAGAAGCCAAGGCUGUGCAAGAUGACUAGACUUCUACUUACCACACAUACGACGUCAGAGUGCGGAACAUACUCCUGAUUGGCAACAAUCCGAAGGGUCUCCCCGAUAAAUCCGAUGCACUGCUUUGGGAUUUAAUAAAAAGGGAAGAAAUACCGACCUCCCUUCAGAAGGGCCGUCGAAUAUCCACGCUUUCUUCUACUCCUCCGAUGUCCAGUCCUUUCGAUAAGUGCUUAUGGAGCACUAUAAUAGCCGCAUGACACGAUUCUUGAAAACCAGAUUCUAAAAAAGAGUUGUGAAGCAGUUGAUCAUGCUACGAGAUUGAAGGAGGAUUCAAUGCUUUUGCUGAGAGUGUUAUCAUACUGGUCAUUUGGAUUCUUUAUGGUUUAUGAACUAGGUGCUGGUUGCAUUACCUGAGAUUAGAAUCUUCCUGGUUGGUGUUUGCGAGAUGAUGAGCUCUGGGAAUCUGGGAAAAUAAAAUCAAACUCAGGGGAGAAAGAAUUGGUUCUGCUAUCGGUAGUGACAGUUCCCACUCAAGACCUACCAACCAAUCCUCAGAUACUUGACUAAGUAGAUGAUCUUACACAACUAAGUUAUUUGAACGAGCCUUCAGUUCUUCACAAUCUUCAGACUAGAUAUUUACAAGAUAAUUUAUAUAGAAUGGCAGGCCCUGUACUUUUGUCAAUCAAUCCAUUUAACAAUGUCUAGCUAUAUGGGGAUGAUAAAGAAAGAAACUUUUGGACACUCCUCAUGCUUAUGCUGUUGCUGAUGCAGCAUGCAAUGCAAUGAUAGCAGAUGAAGAAGUUGACUAAUAAGAAAGAAGGAGGUGCAAAAAAAAAGAAAAGAAAAAAGAAAAGAAAAAAAGAAAAGAAAAAUAGAAAGAAGGUGCAAAAAAAAGAGAAGAAAAAAAAAGAAAGGAGAUGAAAGCAAAAAAAAGAAGAUAAAGCGCUGUUGGAGGAGAUUAAAUUAGCAACCACAAGAUCUGUUACAAGGGAGAAAAGGAGUUGAAAUAGGAGUGGAAUGAGGCUGACAUAGGAGGGGGAACAAAAUUAGGAAGUUGCCUGAUUAUACUGAAGGAGAUGCAAAAAAAAAGAAAAAAAGAAAGAAGGUGAAGCAAGCAAAGAAAGAUGAUAAAGAGCUGUUGGUGGAGAUGAAAUCAGCAACUUCAAGAACCCUUACAAGGGAGAAAAUGAGUUUAUGUAGGAGAGGGCUGAGGCUGAGCAGCAUGCAAGGGAAGAAGAGACAACUGCCCAAUCUAGGACAUGCCCCAGAUCCCAUGACGUGCAGAAGCUUACCAAAACAAGAGAAUAAAAGGCAUGGGAUAUGGCUCAUCAGCUAUUACUUAUGACAACAUCAUGGUCCUGUACAGGAAAGCAGGUCAAUUCGAGAAAAUCCCUGAGACUCUCAUUGUAGAAGAAUGGUGUCGACGAAAAUAGAUGAAAUGAUGAGAAAUUUCUCUGGUUAAGCUUGGAGAGAUCGAAGAAGCCAAGGCUGUGCUAGAUGACUAGACUUCUACUUGCCACACAUACGACAUCAGAGUGCCGAACAUUCCUGAUUGGCUACUAUCAGAAGGGUCUCUCCGAUAAAUCUGAUGCAUUGCUUUGGGAUAUUAUAAAUAGGGAAGAAAUACCAACUUCCCUUCAGAAGGGCCGUCGACUAUCCACGCUUUCUUCUCCUCCUCCGAUGUCCAGUCCUUUCGAUAAGUGCUUAUGGAGCACUCUAAUAGCCGCAUGACACGAUUCUUGAGAACCAGAUGCUAAAAAAGAGUUGUGAUUCAGUUGCUCAUGCUAAGAGAUUGAAGGAGGAUUCAAUGCUUUUGCUGAGAGUGUUAUCAUACUGGUUAUUUGGAUUCUUUAUGGUUUAUGAACUCGGUGCUGGUUGCAUUACCUGAGAUUAGAAUCUUCCAGGUUGGUGUUUGCGUGAUGAUGAGCUCUGGGAAUCUGGGAAAAUAAAAUCAAACUCUGGGGAGAAAGAAUUGGUUCUGCUAUCGGUAGUGACAGUUCCCACUCAAGACCUACCAACCAAUCCUCAGAUACUUGACUAAGUAGAUGAUCACACAACUAAGUUAUUUGAACGAGCCUUCAGUUCUUCACAUUCUUCAGACUAGAUAUUUACAAGAUAAUUUAUAUAGAAUGGCAGGCCCUGUACUUUUGUCAAUCAAUCAAUUUAACAAUGUCUAGCUAUAUGGGGAUGAUAAAGAUAGAAACUUUUGGACACUCCUCAUGCUUAUGCUGUUGCUGAUGCAGCAUGCAAUGCAAUGAUAGCAGAUGAAGAAGUUGACUAAUAAGAAAGAAGGAGGUGCAAAAAAAAGAAAAGAAAAAAAGAAAAGAGAAAAAGAAAAGAGAAAGUAAGAAAAAAAGAAAGAAAGAAGGGGCAAAAAAAAAGAGAGAGAAAAAAAGAAGACGCAAGCAAAAAAAGAAGAAGAUAAAGCGCUGUUGGAGGAGAUUAAAUCAGCAACCUCAAGAUCUGUUACAAGGGAGAAAAGGAGUUGAAAUAGGAGGGGAAUGAGGCUGACAUAGGAGGGGGAACAAAAUUAGGAAGUUGCCUGAUUAUACUGAAGGAGAUGCAAAAAAAAAAAGAAAAAAAAAGAAAGUGAAGCAAGCAAAGAAAGAUGAUAAAGAGCUGUUGUUGGAGAUGAAAUCAGAAACUUCAAGAACCCUUACAAGGGAGAAAAUGAGUUUAUGUAGGAGAGGGCUGAGGCUGAGCAGUAUGCAAGGGAAGAAGAGACAACUGCCCAAUCUAGGACAUGCCCCAGAUCCCAUGACGUGCAGAUGCUUACCAAAACAAGGAAUAUGGAGGAAAAAGAAAUCAGGGCAAGAAAAUGGAGGAGUUUGGAAAUCAAUGGAAAAAUGCUGCAAAUUUGAGCUAAAGGGGUAAAAAUGAGAAUAAGGUCUCGUCUCACCCACCAAAAAGAGGAAGACUCGUGCUUUCAUUACCAAACUCUCACGUCUCCCAGCUAGAAAGCAGGCAUAACUCCACUCUUUUGACUGCACUCUCCAUUCUUUGCAUCCAUUGUUCCAUUGGAAAAAAGGGGUCCACGACUAAUUCAACUCUACCUACAGUACCAGCUCUUGUACCAGAGACAGAAGAGGGCAGAAGAUGGCUCCUCCUAAUAGCAAUCGGCCACUACUCCUGUACCACUUACCAUUCACACCAUUCCCAACAAUUCUUUCCCCAAUUUGGCCCACAUCUGUAGAGGAUGGAACCAUCUACAGAAUCAGCCCUACCUCAAUUCCUUGGGGAGGAAGUUUUCAAACCCCAAGUAUAAAAGCAAUGCUCUGCCCUAGUUGAAAGGGACGAGCAACCGUGUUUAGGUCCACUUUAAUCCUCAAGGACGUGGUGGCUAACAUCAAACCUCGUGUAAGCAACUUCAUUGCUGCUGGGAAUAUGUAUGGUGCUAAAAUAUAGACCUGUAGGCUGAGGUGAAGAAGUGCUUCUGAACACAACUAUCUCAAUCCGAGUGAAUGUUUCAGAUCCCAAACGUUAAUAAUGAACAAGAGUUUCAUAUUCUUAUGGUAAAUGACAGGUCUUGAAUAUGCAAUGUAUAUUGGUUAGCUACACCCAUUUGUUUUUCUCGUACUCACUCAUUAUUCAACCACCCAACCUCUUUUGUGUCUGGGGUGGUUUGAAUCUUUAGUGAAGAAACUGAUGCACUGGUGGGAUAAAAAGCAUAGUUUCUAUAGAACUUUCUAAUCUUUUUAGUAUAUUUAUUAUAUUUACAAUAUUUAUUAAUUCUGGAAUAUGUUUGCACUCCUUAAGUAGCCUUAGAUUCUAUCAGAAUCUGUAAAGAUGAUCAGGAACACAUCAAGAUGCUUGUUGCAAUUUUGUGGUGGGGAAACAUAUCAUUUCUUGUAAUUGAGAAUCGGUUGGUUCUGAUGAAGAUCAACAUGUCAUUUCCAUUGGGAAAGAUAACAUGGGCGUUAGUAAGCAUCCUUGAUAUGUAUGGAUUUGAAUCACUUAAGAAGAAUAGCAUUUUUACGUCUAUUAUGCUGACGAGCGGCUCCAGAGCCAUUUCUAUCAACAUCUCAUCAAACUUGAGCAAGAAGCAAGCAUCACACAUAAAAGUCCUUACAGUUUAUUUUCUUCUGUCAUUCCUUCUCAAAAUAGAGCCUGCAAGGAUUACAAUUUGUGAAUUCAUAAAGUGGGCGCUCUGGGAAUCUGUGCAAAUAAAAUCAAACUCGGGGGAGAAAGCUUUGGUUCUGCUCUUGGACGGAGUUCCCACAGACGACCUUCUACCAGCCAUUUUGCAGAUACUUGACGAAGUUGAUGAUCAUGCACAAGCUAAGUUAUUUGAACUAGUCUUCCGUUCUUCAGAUACGUGGUCUUGAAUAUGUAUUGUAUAUUGGUUAGCUACACCCAUUUGUUUUUCUCGUACUCACUCAUUAUUCAAGCACCCAACCACUUUUGUCUCUGGAGAGGUACGAAUCUUUAGUGAAGAAACUGAUCUUUUUACAAUAUUUAUUAUAUGUACAAUAUUUAUUAAUUCUGGCAUAUGUUUUCACCCCUUUAGUAGCCUUAGAUUUAUAAAGAUGACGAGGAAUGCCUCAAAAUGCUUGCUACAGUUUUGUGGCUGUGAAACAUAUCAUUUCUUGUAAUUGAGAAACAAAAGCACAUCGAGGUUUUUCCUGAUGAAGCUUGCUUGAUGGGCUGUAGUGAGCAAGAUCGGAUGCUUUCAACGUGAAAGUGCCAGCGGGAUCUCUGUCACUUGAACAUGUUCUUAAUUUUGUGUGUAUGCCCAGUGUAUAUUUUGUGUAUGAG